UCAACAAUAUAAAAAAACAGUUAAAAACCUCCUUAAUUAAUUAUUGCAGGGAUUUUCUGCCUCAAAGCAAUGAUAAAUGGGUAAGAAGAGAGUUUUUUACACGUUUGAAAUCUUCAAUGAUAAGUCGAUUUCCAUUAUGUAUGGAGGACUGGGAUAAGCUUUUAGGUUUGAUAGCUAAUACAUUAAGACAGCAAAAUGGACUAAGUCAAACAAAGCCAGUCCAAAAUUUGGACAACUUUCUAAAUCCAAAAAAUCAUCUUCUUUGUUGGCGUUAGUAAAUUCAGCUGAACCUGUUUUAAGUAAAGAACAGUUACUUUAUGAAGUUGAGAUUGAGCUGCAGAAGAAUAAGCCUUCAACUCAA
rnacentral:lncRNA from 1 species